AAUCAACGCUGGCGGCGUGCCUCAGACAUGCAAGUCGAACGAUUAAGACUCUCUUCGGAGAGUGCAUAAAGUGGCGCACGGGUGAGUAACACGUAAGUAAUCUACCUUUGGGUGGGGAAUAACAGUCGGAAACGACUGCUAAUACCGCAUAAUGCAGCGGCUCCUUAUGGAGACAGUUGUUAAAGAUUUAUCGCCUAAAGAGGAGCUUGCGGCAGAUUAGCAGUUGGUAAGGUAACGGCUUACCAAGGCGACGAUCUGUAUCCGACCUGAGAGGGUGGUCGGACACACUGACACUGAAUAACGGGUCAGACUCCUACGGGAGGCAGCAGUCGGGAAUUUUGGGCAAUGGGCGAAAGCCUGACCCAGCAACGCCGCGUGAAGGAUGAAGUCUUUCGGGA
rnacentral:rRNA from 1 species